CUGGCGGCGUGCCUAAUACAUGCAAGUCGAACGGUCUUUCUAUGGAAGCUUGCUUCCACUGAGAAGAUAGUGGCGAACGGGUGAGUAACACGUGGGUAACCUGCCCAUAAGAGGGGGGAUAACAUCCGGAAACGGGUGCUAAUACCGCAUAGUUUUCUUGAUCGCAUGAUUGAGAAAGGAAAGACGGCCUUUGUGCUGUCGCUUAUGGAUGGACCCGCGGCGUAUUAGUUAGUUGGUGAGGUAAUGGCUCACCAAGACGAUGAUACGUAGCCGACCUGAGAGGGUGAUCGGCCACAUUGGGACUGAGACACGGCCCAAACUCCUACGGGAGGCAGCAGUAGGGAAUCUUCCGCAAUGGACGAAAGUCUGACGGAGCAACGCCGCGUGAGUGAAGAAAGGUUUUCGGAUCGUAAAACUCUGUUGUCAGAGAAGAACAAGUUGGAGAGUAACUGCUCCAGCCUUGACGGUAUCUGACCAGAAAGCCACGGCUAACUACGUGCCAGCCGCCGC
rnacentral:rRNA from 1 species